UUUGCCCAUGGCCGAAAGUCUGAGCAGCAACGCCGCGUGUGCGAUGAAGGUCUUCGGACUGUAAAGCACUUUUCUGAGGGAAGAGGAAGGACUGUACCUCAGGAAUAAGNCUCGGCUAACUACGUGCCAGCAGCCGCGGUAACACGUAGGAGGCAAGCGUUAUCCGGAUUUACNUGGGCGUAAAGCGCGUGCAGGCGGUUUGGUUAGUUGGAUGUGAAAGCUCCUGGCUCAACUGGGAGAGGCCGUUCAAUACUGCCAGACUAGAGGACGGUAGAGGAAGGUAGAAUUCCCGGUGUAGUGGUGAAAUGCGUAGAUAUCGGGAGGAAUACCAGUGGCGAAGGCGGCCUUCUGGGCCGUUCCUGACGCUAAGACGCGAAAGCAUGGGUAGCGAACGGGAUUAGAAACCCCGGUAGUCCAUGCUGUAAACGAUGCAAACUUGGUGUUGGUGGUGUAAAAACCAUCAGUACCGCAGCCAACGCGAUAAGUUUGCCGCCUGGGGAUUACGACCGCAAGGUUAAAACUCAAAAAAAUUGACGGA
rnacentral:rRNA from 1 species